GGGGAAUAUUGCACAAUGGGCGAAAGCCUGAUGCAGCAACGCCGCGUGAACGAUGAAGGCCUUUGGGUCGUAAAGUUCUGUCCUUGGGGAAGAAAAAAAUGACGGUACCCUUGGAGGAAGCCCCGGCUAACUACGUGCCAGCAGCCGCGGUAAUACGUAGGGGGCAAGCGUUAUCCGGAAUUAUUGGGCGUAAAGGGUACGUAGGUGGUUUGUAAAGCGCGAGGUUUAAGGCUAUGGCUCAACCAUAGUUCGCCUUGCGAACUGGCAAACUUGAGUACAGGAGAGGAAAGCGGAAUUCCUAGUGUAGCGGUGAAAUGCGUAGAUAUUAGGAGGAACACCAGCGGCGAAGGCGGCUUUCUGGACUGUAACUGACACUGAGGUACGAAAGCGUGGGUAGCAAAC
rnacentral:rRNA from 1 species